UGAAUCUUUUCUGCAGCCUUUGAGCAGCAAUUUGGAGGGAGGAACCCCUAUAGUGUUCCAAGGAGGCCGAUCCCCUAAAGAGAUCAACCCCAAGUUUAGAAUCUGCAAGGGUUCUAUCACCUGGUAUUAGAGCAGCGUUCUUGGCAUCUCGCUGCCCUUCCACAACCAUCCAUCAACCCUCCACAACCAUCCAAAGCAAUUCCCACAAUUGCUUAAAAGAUCGUCGCCGAAUUCCACCAUCAUCUCCACCACCGCAGAUCAUCCUUUGAUCUCCCCGUGAAUUACAACAGGUUCUGGUUUCCUACCUUACUGCUGCUGCAAUUUAUU
rnacentral:lncRNA from 1 species